UCCCACGUUGUCUAGUGGCUAGGAUAUCUAGCUUUCACCCAGAAGGUUCGAUUCCCAGCGUGGGAA